rnacentral:rRNA from 1 species
UACGGAGGGUGCAAGCGCUAUCCGGAUUCACUGGGUUUAAAGGGUGCGUAGGUGGGCAGGUAAGUCAGUGGUGAAAUCUCCGGGCUUAACCCGGAAACUGCCAUUGAUACUAUCUGUCUUGAAUACCGUGGAGGUGAGCGGAAUAUGUCAUGUAGCGGUGAAAUGCUUAGAUAUGACAUAGAACACCAAUUGCGAAGGCAGCUCACUACACGAAUAUUGACACUGAGGCACGAAAGCGUGGGGAUCAAACAGG